UGCAAGUCGAACGGUAACAUUUCUAGCUUGCUAGAAGAUGACGAGUGGCGGACGGGUGAGUAAUGCUUGGGAACUUGCCUUUGCGAGGGGGAUAACAGUUGGAAACGACUGCUAAUACCGCAUAAUGUCUUCGGACCAAACGGGGCUUCGGCUCCGGCGCAAAGAGAGGCCCAAGUGAGAUUAGCUAGUUGGUAAGGUAACGGCUUACCAAGGCGACGAUCUCUAGCUGUUCUGAGAGGAAGAUCAGCCACACUGGGACUGAGACACGGCCCAGACUCCUACGGGAGGCAGCAGUGGGGAAUAUUGCACAAUGGGGGAAACCCUGAUGCAGCCAUGCCGCGUGUGUGAAGAAGGCCUUCGGGUUGUAAAGCACUUUCAGUUGUGAGGAAAAGUUAGUAGUUAAUACCUGCUAGCCGUGACGUUAACAACAGAAGAAGCACCGGCUAACUCCGUGCCAGCAGCCGCGGUAAUACGGAGGGUGCGAGCGUUAAUCGGAAUUACUGCGCGUAAAGCGCACGCAGGCGGUUUGUUAAGCUA
rnacentral:rRNA from 1 species